CGCCUACGGGAGGCAGCAGUGGGGGAUAUUGGACAAUGGGGGAAACCCUGAUCCAGCGAUGCCGCGUGAGGGAAGAAGGUUUUCGGAUUGUAAACCUCUGUGGAGGGGGACGAUAAUGACGGUACCCCUUUAGGAAGCCACGGCUAACUACGUGCCAGCAGCCGCGGUAAUACGUAGGUGGCGAGCGUUGUCCGGAAUUACUAGGUGUAAAGGGAGCGUAGACGGCGCGGCAAGUCUGAAGUGAAAGGCAGGGGCUUAACCCCUGAACUGCUUUGGAAACUGCCAUGCUAGAGUGCUGGAGAGGG
rnacentral:rRNA from 1 species